rnacentral:rRNA from 1 species
UACAGAGGGGGCUAGCGUUAUUCGGAAUUAUUGGGCGUAAAGGGCGCGUAGGCGGCCAUGCGUGUCUUCCGUGAAAUCCCUCGGCUUAACUGAGGACGUGCGGAAGAAACUGCAAGGCUCGAGUCCGGGGAGAGGGGGGGUGGAAUUCCCAGUGUAGCGGUGAAAUGCGUAGAUAUUGGGAGGAACACCAGUGGCGAAGGCGGGGUCUCUGGACAGUUCCUGACGCUGGGGCACGAAGGCCAGGGGAGCAAACGGG